rnacentral:rRNA from 1 species
GACGAACGCUGGCGGCGUGCUUAACACAUGCAAGUCGUACGGUAAGGCCCUUUCGGGGGUACACGAGUGGCGCACGGGUGAGUAACACGUGAGUAACCUGCCCACAACUUUGGGAUAACGCUAGGAAACUGGUGCUAAUACUGGAUAUGUGCUCCUGCUGCAUGGUGGGGGUUGGAAAGCUCCGGCGGCUGUGGAUGGACUCGCGGCCUAUCAGCUUGUUGGUGGGGUAGUGGCCUACCAAGGCGGCGACGGGUAGCCGGCCUGAGAGGGUGACCGGCCACAUUGGGACUGAGAUACGGCCCAGACUCCUACGGGAGGCAGCAGUGGGGAAUAUUGCACAAUGGGCGCAAGCCUGAUGCAGCAACGCCGCGGGCGGGAUGACGGCCUUCGGGUUGUAAACCGCUUUCAGCAGGGACGAAGCUUUUUGUGACGGUACCUGCAGAAGAAGCACCGGCUAACUACGUG